rnacentral:rRNA from 1 species
GAUACUAGACGUUGGGAGUAAAAUCUCAGUGUCGGAGGCAACCCAUUAAGUAUCCCACCUGGGGAGUACGAUCGCAAGGUUGAAACUCAAAGGAAUUGACGGGGGCCCGCACAAGCAGUGGAGCAUGUGGUUCAAUUCGAUGCAACGCGAAGAACCUUACCUGGGCUUGAAAAGCAAGCUAAGGCGGGUGAAAGCCCGCGUCCCGCAAGGGGAGCUUGUACAGAUGCUGCAUGGCUGUCGUCAGCUCGUGCCGUGAGGUGUUGGGUUAAGUCCCGCAACGAGCGCAACCCUUGUUCUUAGUUGCCACCGGGUAAUGCCGAGCACUCUAAGGAGACUGCCUACGCAAGUAGUGAGGAAGGUGGGGAUGACGUCAAGUCCGCAUGGCUCUUACGCCCAGGGCCACACACGUGCUACAAUGGCAACUACAAAGGGCUGCAAAUCCGCAAGGUGAAGCCAAUCCCUAAAAAGUUGUCUCAGUUCGGAUUGGAGUCUGAAACUCGACUCCAUGAAGCUGGAAUUGCUAGUAAUCGUGGAUCAGCACGCCACGGUGAAUACGUUCCCGGGCCUUGUACACACCGCCCGUCAAGCCAUGGAAGUUAGAAG